AGUCCAGAAGCCAUAAGUGAGGGUAAACCUUGGAGAAGCAGAAGGAUCUGCAGCAACAAGCCCAUGACCCGAGGGGAGAGUUGCUUCCUCACGUCACUGCAUGCUCAGGACUGGUGGCUGGAGUUCAAGAGAAGUUGCAUCUGAGACUUGAACUGACUAAUUUGACAGACACAGGAGAAGGCGCUGUUUCUGGUUUGUGGCUGAUAACCCCCGGCAUCAAUGUGAGCAGCCCACGGAGCAGGAUGAGCUGCUGUGCCUCUCUCCUGACACACAGGUCAGCGUGUGAGUGGCAGUCAUGGUGAUGAGUGGUGUGGCACCAGCUGUAUUCAUGGGAAAACUCAUCUGCCCCUUCAGGAGAAGUUUUCUGGUCAU